GUUGGUGUGCGGAACCUUUCUUUUGUUAUUGUUUUCUGUACCCCUACGUUUAGUUUUCUGGGACAACUCCUUUAUAAGGAGCAGUUUCGCGCUCACUCUCCCCCUUUUCCUGUGGCAUUCGGCAGGAGCGGUGAGUGAAAGUUUAGGAAGUUUAGUAAUGGUAAAUCCAGCUGUACUAGACAACAAUGUCUUUGUGUGUUUUGUUUGUGUAGGGGCUUAAAGCGAUCGUCACCAACCAGACUGUGAUGUUUUGUUUACUGUUUGGUCAGGUAUGUUUUGUAUGAUCGAUUGUUGUGUUUAAUGUGUUGCUGUGUACGGCCCCCUUCUUCCUGUGGCAUUCGGCGGGAGCGGGGCUUAAAGCGAUCGUCACCAACCAGACUGUGAUGUUUUGUUUACUGUUUGGUCAGAAAUAAAAGGAGAUCGCCUCCAAAUCACGUCGGUGGCCUGAUCUGAUCAUUGAUGCACACAACGCAGAGAGCUGUAGAAGCCACCGGUUACACUAGCUAAAAUCUAAUUUUCAGCAUUAGAUACCACAAUGCCAUUUGCCAUUUAUUAUUUCAAGGAAAAGACUGUGGAAGUUGGGAAGAUUUCAUGGAUUAGUGCUGACGACCAGCAACAAUGUCCAAAAGUAAUCAUUCAGUGCCCUGAUCUAGAAGAAGACGGAUGGAUAGAGAUACAGUGGGACAUGGAAGGCAGAAAAAAAUCAGCAGCCUUUUUCCCAGCAAAGGUUUUGAUAGUUGGUGACAACUACAGUGAUCUUUGCAAGAAGAGUUAGGAAUUCAUAAAGGGUGAAGACAUCUGGCAAGAAGCAACCAAGAGGAAGAGUAAGCCGAAUAGCAAGUGGAAAGAUGUGGAAGAGGAUUAUGAAGUUCCAUCACAAAAGGUAGGUACCUUGAUAAAUACCUUGGUAUGGCACCAGUUGAUUCUAAGUGACAUUUCUUUAUCAUUUCUGGUGUGCAUAAUACUUAACUCCAUAGUUACAUGAUUUUUGUUUUGAGUUACACAUUUUUGAAUCUAGGUAUGAUCCAUCAGUGGUGCAGUUGACUCUGUGAAUGCAAGUAAAUCAUCAUUACCAUGGAUGUUAUUAUAUUUGCCUGUUAUAAACAUAUAAAAUUGAAUUAUAAUUUUAACAGAAGAGAAAGAAGUCAGAGUGAUGAUAGAAGAGCUGAAGAAGCAGCUGGCAAACAAAAUAUCUUCAGAGGUAAAAUAUUUGACUAUUGUGGUAUUUUGAGUUGAAGCAGCUGCCCAGAAACUGGAGUGGGGCCCAGAAGAAAGUGAAAGAGCUUCAGAGAGAAAUCGAGAGAAUGAAAGCAGACUAUGGGAAAGAGAUACUAGAUGCUGUCAGAGAGCUUCCAGCAGUAGUGACAACGCUGAAAGAGAUUUUAGAAAAAAAUCACAGUUCAGAUCUCAACUCCUGCAUCCACCUGGUCAACACCCACACCAGACCAACAAGUUUGACCACCCAGCUCUCCUCAAGUGUUGUCUGACCCUCAUAAUAUGGUGCCUCUAUAUGCCAGGUUGUGAUGUAAAAGUCCCAAGACUAAAGCUGAAGUCUCUGCGAACUGCAAGUUCAGCAUCGUGGGAUCUUGCGGUGUUCAUCUAUGGUAGACACGCUGUCCAACUCAAGUUUGACCGGGAGGCAGUUAGGGGCCCACAAAGAUGUGGAAUCAAAGCCACAACUGGAUAACACCAAGCUUGAUGCUAUAUUUGACCAUGCCCAGGUGAAAUCUCCUGACACCACCAUGCAAGAUGUGAGACGAAUCAUAAGAAAGAAAUGCAACAACAUAAGCUACGCCAACAAGUAAAUGAAAAGAAGUCAUAAAAGUACAGAUUUUUUUUCUGUCUUUUUUAUUUUUGGUUCCAAAGGUGUGCUUUUCUUUUACCUUUUUUGACAAGGAAGGACUUUAUUUCUCAGUUGAAGAUGCUAUGUUUACAUUUUUACAAGCAUAUGCACAAGUUUUGCU